rnacentral:rRNA from 1 species
UACAGAGGUCUCAAGCGUUGUUCGGAUUCAUUGGGCUUAAAGGGUGCGUAGGCGGCGCUGUAAGUCGGUGGUGAAAUCUCGGAGCUUAACUCCGAAACUGCAUUCGAUACUGCCGUGCUUGAGGACUGGAGAGGAGACUGGAAUUUACGGUGUAGCGGUGAAAUGCAUUGAGAUCGGAAAGAACACCAACGGCGAAAGCACUCUGCUGGGCCGACACUGACACUGAGAGACGAAAGCUAGGGGAGCAAAUGGG